rnacentral:rRNA from 1 species
UUGGGUUAGUCCGCAACGAGCGCCACCCACGUUUUUAGUUGCCAGCAUUGAGUUGGGCACUCUAGAGAGACUGCCGGUGACAAACCGGAGGAAGGUGUGGAUGACGUCAAGUCAGCAUGCCCCUUACGUUCUGGGCUACACACGUACUACAAUGCUUCGGACAAAGGGCAGCGAGCGCGCGAGUGCAAGCCAAUCCCAUAAACCGAGGCUCAGUUCAGAUUGCAGGCUGCAACUCGCCUGCAUGAAGGCGGAAUCGCUAGUAAUCGCAGGUCAGCAUACUGCGGUGAAUACGUUCCCGGGCCUUGUACACACCGCCCGUCACACCAUGGGAGUUGGCCACGCCCGAAGUCGUUACUCCAACCGNUCGCGGAGGAGGAUGCCGAAGGCAGGGCUGAUGACUGGGGUGAAGUCGUAACAAGGUAACCA